rnacentral:rRNA from 1 species
UACGUAGGGGGCAAGCGUUGUCCGGAUUUAUUGGGCGUAAAGAGCGUGUAGGCGGCCAUGUAGGUCCGUUGUGAAAACUCGAGGCUCAACCUCGAGACGCCGAUGGAAACCAUGUGGCUAGAGUCCGGAAGAGGAGAGUGGAAUUCCUGGUGUAGCGGUGAAAUGCGCAGAUAUCAGGAGGAACACCAGUGGCGAAGGCGGCUCACUGGACUGGUAUUGACGCUGAGGUGCGAAAGCGUGGGGAGCAAACAGG